AACGAGGCCGACCUGCGGCUGAGUUACCUGCGGAGGGAUCAUUACCGAGUUUACAACUCCCAAACCCCUGUGAACAUACCUAUACGUUGCCUCGGCGGAUCAGCCCGCGCCCUGUAAAAAGGGACGGCCCGCCCGAGGACCCUAAACUCUGUUUUUAGUGGAACUUCUGAGUAAAACAAACAAAUAAAUCAAAACUUUCAACAAUGGAUCU
rnacentral:misc_RNA from 1 species